rnacentral:tRNA from 1 species
GCCUUAGUAGUAUAAAAAGUACAUUGGUCUUGUAAGCCAAAAAUGGAGUAACACCCUCCCUAAGGCA